AUGGGCGUAUGGUCUCAGCAGGCAAUGGUUAAUUCUAAGAUUCUAGUCACAAUUAACAAAGGCACAUGCCACCUACUAUGCACUAAUUAACAACGCUUAACAAAAGCAUGCUUACCUAGAUGCCUAGAUACAGCAUCCAGAACAUUGGGAAAAACAAAUCUACAUUUCUAAAUCAAUUAAGCAUUCAAAUACAUGCAGAGAAUGAAAAUAAAAGUAACAUAGAGCACUCCUUCGAAAUAAUCCCUGGCGGUCAAGGAUUACUUCAUUUGACUGACUGAACUGCCCCAUUGAACAAUGCGUUGAUGAAAAAUCAGCAGCAAGACAAGAAACCAGAGAAUGUAACUUGAAUCUGUAACGCCUACAGGAAUGGAGACUGCUGCUUCAACUCUAAUAUGGAAGGGUCUCCAAAUGCAAUAUAACAACUGCAAACAAAUUCUACAUGAGAAUCAUGUUUUUGACCUCUUUUGCUUUUGAGGAACAAAGCGAACUGCUUGCUUCCCCAGUUCCAAUGUUUUUACUCUACCGUCAUCCAGUGUAACAGAUAAUGUUGAAGUGCAUUCAAUCAUGUCGGAGACAGCUCCUUUAUGCCAUGAAUUGUCAGAUGGCUGAUGAACUUCAACUCUCUUUCCAAUUGCAUC
rnacentral:misc_RNA from 1 species